rnacentral:rRNA from 1 species
UGGGGAAUAUUGCGCAAUGGGCGAAAGCCUGACGCAGCGACGCCGCGUGAGGGAUGAAGGUUUUCGGAUCGUAAACCUCUGUCAGAAGGGAAGAAACCGCACUGUGCUAAUCAGCAGUGCCUUGACGGUACCUUCAAAGGAAGCACCGGCUAACUCCGUGCCAGCAGCCGCGGUAAUACGGAGGGGGCAAGCGUUUAUCGGAAUUACUGGGCGUAAAGCGCACGUAGGCUGCUUUGUAAGUCAGGGGUGAAAUCCCACGGCUCAACCGUGGAACUGCCUUUGAUACUGCUUAGCUUGAAUCCGGGAGAGGGUGGCGGAAUUCCAGGUGUAGGAGUGAAAUCCGUAGAUAUCUGGAGGAACAUCAGUGGCGAAGGCGGCCACCUGGACCGGUAUUGACGCUGAGGUGCGAAAGCGUGGGGAGCAAACAGG